UUGUGUAUAUUGUUUAUUCACUCUGUCAGACAAAAUCUUUACACCCAAGUGCAGUCAGUAAAUUUAAAAGUGCAUGUCUGCAAGGGGAAGUCAGAAUUGUAUUUGAAGACAAUUGCAUCUUGUUUGAUAGUUCUCGAGCACUUGUGCGCCACUAAUCGAGCACAGCUUGGCCCUAUACUCGAUGAGGCUUGAAGCUUUCAAUGUCUGCUAAUCACUAAAACAGCACCAGAUCUCACUCUGUGUCAAGGGGUGGCACACAUUUGCUUAGUUCUAGGCAGAUGCAUGUCUUUCUUUCGCAUUGAAGUUCCCAAUACUUUCUAGUCUUACGUAAAAGUACACAGCUCAGUACAAUGCAUGUAUGGUAUACGUAAGGCUGCUUUGUUCUUUAAACCGAAUCAACAAGAAGCAGCGACUUCCGUUUUUGCAAACCUUACCCUACUUCCUAACCAUUCCUUGAUCAAAUGCGUAUAAAAUGAAUCUUUGGUUGUUGUAUUCUUUCACAGGUAGACAUCGGUGACGGUGUAUACGUUGAAAAGGGCCUGCUGAAGAGGCUGUGCCUGGAUGCUAACAACUCAGGCUUUCACUUCGCGGAGGGCCUCCUUAAAGCUCCUUUUUCAAUAGAAGACGUUGAAGGGAGGUCCUUCUUUGGGCGGCUGUCAAAUGCCUUCCACAGAAGGAUCCGUUGGAUUCCAAGAAGGUCAACACCAUAGUAGACUACACAACGCAACAUUUCAGCCUACUUCCAGGGCAGCUGGAGAACUCGUCCUCCUUACUAGCCCGGGGAUAUUAAAUGGAUGUGUUCAAGCACAAA